rnacentral:rRNA from 1 species
UAAGGAAUAUUGGUCAAUGGACGCAAGUCUGAACCAGCCAUGCCGCGUGGAGGAUGACGGUCCUCUGGAUUGUAAACUUCUUUUAUUUGGGAAGAAAACCUCUGAUUAUUCGGAGCUUGACGGUACCAGAUGAAUAAGCACCGGCUAACUUCGUGCCAGCAGCCGCGGUAAUACGAAGGAUGCAAGCGUUAUCCGGAAUUAUUGGGUUUAAAGGGUGCGUAGGCGGACUAAUAAGUCAGUGGUGAAAGCCUGCAGCUUAACUGCAGAAUUGCCAUUGAUACUGUUAGUCUUGAGUACAGUUGAGGUAGGCGGAAUGUGUCAUGUAGCGGUGAAAUGCUUAGAUAUGACACAGAACACCGAUUGCGAAGGCAGCUUGCUAAGCUGUAACUGACGCUGAGGCACGAAAGCGUGGGGAGCAAACA